GGUUUGGUAGUUCAGUUGGUUAGAAUACAUGCCUGUCACGCAUGGGGUCGCGGGUUCGAG
rnacentral:tRNA from 1 species